rnacentral:tRNA from 1 species
UUGGUAUUUUGGUACUACUGCCUUACAAGCAGGAUGUUACAAGUUCGAAUCUUGUACUGCCCA